AGCCAAACUCCUCCUGCAGCUCUGGUGGAAUAUGGAGAAGGCUUUUCCUUUCCUCUAUCUCUCCCAGGACCUGGUGGCGUGAGACG
rnacentral:pre_miRNA from 1 species